UACGAAGGGGGCUAGCGUUGCUCGGAAUUACUGGGCGUAAAGGGAGCGUAGGCGGGUCGUCAAGUUGGGGGUGAAAGCCCAGGGCUCAACCCUGGAACUGCCUUCAAAACUGGCGACCUAGAGUAUGGUAGAGGUGUGUGGAACUCCGAGUGUAGAGGUGAAAUUCGUAGAUAUUCGGAAGAACACCAGUGGCGAAGGCGGCGCUCUGGGCCGGUACUGACGCUGAGGAGCGAAAGCGUGGGGAGCGAACAGG
rnacentral:rRNA from 1 species